GUGAGUCAUCGAAUCUUUGAACGCAAAUUGCGCUCCUUGGUAUUCCGAGGAGCAUGCCUGUUUGAGUGUCAUGAAAUCAUCCACCUCACCUUUGGGCUUUUGUCUGAGGGUUUGGCUGGGACUUGGGUGUUUGCGCGGAGAUGAUCCCCGCUCACCUUAAAUAUAUUGUAGUGAUCUAGCCUGUUGGCCGGUUUGACUUGGCGUUAUAAAUUAUUUCGCUGAGGACAUCUUUACGGAUGGCCGACUGACAUCUUGAUCUCGCCUCAAAGUGCAAAACACCUAGAGAGGCUACCAAUUCUUGACAUCUGGCCUCAAAUCAGGUAGGACUACCCGCUGAACUUAA
rnacentral:rRNA from 1 species